rnacentral:rRNA from 1 species
UACGAAGGGGGCUAGCGUUGCUCGGAAUUACUGGGCGUAAAGCGCACGUAGGCGGUCUUUUAAGUCGGUGGUGAAAUCCUGGAGCUCAACUCCAGAACUGCCUUCGAUACUGGAAGACUUGAGUCCGGGAGAGGUGAGUGGAACUGCGAGUGUAGAGGUGAAAUUCGUAGAUAUUCGCAAGAACACCCAUGGCGAAGGCAGCUAACUGGGCAUUAUCUGACGCUGAGGCGCGAAAGCGUGGGUAGCAAACAGG